UAACAAAUCUGCAACAGGAGAUACCACGAUCAGCAAUGUGGUACCCCAGGGUGCGACUUGGCCAUUGUACUUCGGGUUUGAGUCGACCUCUGUGAGUAUCCUAAAUAGGUGCUCGUGUGUGCAAAUUUUUGAUAGCCGGGAUUAUUUGCGUGCGCGCAUGUCCCGA
rfam:Aedes albopictus isolate Foshan contig61918, whole genome shotgun sequence.